rnacentral:rRNA from 1 species
UACGUAGGGUGCGAGCGUUAAUCGGAAUGACUGGGCGUAAAGGGUGCGUAGGCGGUUUGUUAAGACGGAUGUGAAAUCCCUGGGCUCAACCUAGGAACAGCAUACGUGACUGGCAGGCUAGAGUAUCGAAGAGGGGGGUAGAAUUCCACGUGUAGCAGUGAAAUGCGUAGAGAUGUGGAGGAAUACCGAUGGCGAAGGCAGCCCCCUGGUCAGAUACUGACGCUGAGGCACGAAAGCGUGGGGAGCAAACAGG